rnacentral:rRNA from 1 species
UAAGCGACUAAGCGUACACGGUGGAUGCCCUGGCAGUCAGAGGCGAUGAAGGGCGUGCUAAUCUGCGAUAAGCGCCGGUAAGGUGAUAUGAACCGUUAUAACCGGCGAUACCCGAAUGGGGAAACCCAGUGUGACUCGUCACACUAUCAUUAACUGAAUCCAUAGGUUAAUGAGGCGAACCGGGGGAACUGAAACAUCUAAGUACCCCGAGGAAAAGAAAUCAACCGAGAUUCCCCCAGUAGCGGCGAGCGAACGGGGAGGAGCCCAGAGCCUGAAUCAGCAUGUGUGUUAGUGGAAGCGUCUGGAAAGGCGCGCGAUACAGGGUGACAGCCCCGUACACAAAAGCGCAUGUGCUGUGAGCUCGAUGAGUAGGGCGGGACACGUGGUAUCCUGUCUGAAUAUGGGGGGACCAUCCUCCAAGGCUAAAUACUCCUGACUGACCGAUAGUGAACCAGUACCGUGAGGGAAAGGCGAAAAGAACCCCGGCGAGGGGAGUGAAAAAGAACCUGAAACCGUGUACGUACAAGCAGUGGGAGCACAGGUUUACCUGUGUGACUGCGUACCUUUUGUAUAAUGGGUCAGCGACUUAUAUUCUGUAGCAAGGUUAACCGUAUAGGGGAGCCGUAGGGAAACCGAGUCUUAACCGGGCGUUAAGUUGCAGGGUAUAGACCCGAAACCCGGUGAUCUAGCCAUGGGCAGGUUGAAGGUUGGGUAACACUAACUGGAGGACCGAACCGACUAAUGUUGAAAAAUUAGCGGAUGACCUGUGGCUGGGGGUGAAAGGCCAAUCAAACCGGGAGAUAGCUGGUUCUCCCCGAAAGCUAUUUAGGUAGCGCCUCGUGAAUUCAUCUCCGGGGGUAGAGCACUGUUUCGGCUAGGGGGCCAUCCCGGCUUACCAACCCGAUGCAAACUGCGAAUACCGGAGAAUGUUAUCACGGGAGACACACGGCGG